rnacentral:rRNA from 1 species
GCAUAUCAAUAAGCGGAGGAAAAGAAACCAACAGGGAUUGCCUUAGUAACGGCGAGUGAAGCGGCAAAAGCUCAAAUUUGAAAUCUGGCACCUUCGGUGUCCGAGUUGUAAUUUGAAGAAGGUAACUUUGGAGUUGGCUCUUGUCUAUGUUCCUUGGAACAGGACGUCACAGAGGGUGAGAAUCCCGUGCGAUGAGAUGCCCAAUUCUAUGUAAAGUGCUUUCGAAGAGUCGAGUUGUUUGGGAAUGCAGCUCUAAGUGGGUGGUAAAUUCCAUCUAAAGCUAAAUAUUGGCGAGAGACCGAUAGCGAACAAGUACAGUGAUGGAAAGAUGAAAAGAACUUUGAAAAGAGAGUGAAAAAGUACGUGAAAUUGUUGAAAGGGAAGGGCUUGAGAUCAGACUUGGUAUUUUGCGAUCCUUUCCUUCUUGGUUGGGUUCCUCGCAGCUUACUGGGCCAGCAUCGGUUUGGAUGGUAGGAUAAUGACUAAGGAAUGUGGCUCUACUUCGGUGGAGUGUUAUAGCCUUGGUUGAUACUGCCUGUCUAGACCGAGGACUGCGUCUUUUGACUAGGAUGUUGGCAUAAUGAUCUUAAGCCACCCGUCU